AUCACUACCACAUCUUCACACAGCAUCACUCUCUCUGACCUGCAACCUGCUACUGAAUACUCUGUCACUGUCUGCACUGAGUUGGAAAAUGGAAAGCAAAGUCAACUGGUGUCUACAACCCUCACCACAAUACUGCCUGCUCUAGACCAGAUUAAUGUUGACUCAGUGGACACCACAUCAGCUGCUGUUAGCUGGAGCCAGCCACCAGGAUUAGACCAAACCCAACAUCAUUACCAGAUCUCCUACCACUGUCCAGGGACAGAACCAAACAUCGGUACCACAUCUUCACACAGUAUCACUCUCUCUGACCUGCAACCUGCUACUGAAUACUCUGUCACUGUCUGCACUGAGUUGGAAAAUGGAAAGCAAAGUCAACUGGUGUCUACAACCCUCACCACAAUACUGCCUGCUCCAGACCAGAUUAAUGUUGACUCUGUGGACACCACAUCAGCUGCUGUUAGCUGGAGCCAGCCACCAGGAUUAGACCAAACCCAACAUCAUUACCAGAUCUCCUACCACUGUCCAGGGACA